AUAAAGAAAGACAUAAUGGUUAUGGGGCUGGCUUGAAACUAGUCAUAGGGGGUUCGAUUCCUUCCUUUCUUGACCUAUACUUUCACGUAGGUAGGUUCUUCGA
rnacentral:tRNA from 1 species